rnacentral:rRNA from 1 species
AUGAAUGGAUGCCCCCCAACCGUGGUUCACCUAGCAAAGUGCGAAGUAGCUAGCUGCCCCCCUCGUGUCAACACGAAGGGAAUCCUAAGCUAUGAAUGCGCCCCCCAACCGAGUUCAAAGAAAGAAAUUGCGCCCAACGGUUUGUGGAGGCGCUCAACAACUACGCGGCGCUGUUCGGCUGCCUGGAGAUGGGCAUGGCGCACGGGCCCGUGGAGCGUGCGCGUCCAGCGGUGGCUCCUCGGCGAGGAGAUCAAGAACAUCAUGGCCUGCGACAACGCGGAGCGCCGCGAGCGGCACGAGCGGUUGGACCGCUGGGUGGCGCGCAUGGAGGGCGCCGACUUAGGGCGCGUCCUGCUGAGCUAA